rnacentral:sRNA from 1 species
GCCGGGCGCAGUGGCUCACGCCUGUAGUCCCAGCACUUUGGGAGGCUGAGGCGGGUUUCACCAUAUUGGCUAGGGUGGUCUCAAACUCCUGAUCUCAAACAAGAUCAGGAGUUUGAGACCACCCUAGCCAAUAUGGUGAAACCUUGUCUCUC